rnacentral:RNase_P_RNA from 1 species
AAAUUCGGGUAACCGCUUCGGUUUUUAGGCCGGAGAGGAAAGUCCAUGCUCGCACGGACCUGGAAUGGCCGUAGUGAUCGUGCUUGGCGAAACGAUAAGCCAAGGCAGCCCAUAAGGCUGACGGCGGGUGGAACGCCUACGUCUAAGGAUAUGGCGGACACACCCUGAAAAGUGCCACAGUGACGGAGCUGUACAGGAAACUGUACAGGUGGAACGAGGUAAACCCCGCGAGUGAGAAACCCAAACUAUGGUAGGGGCACUUUCCCGAAGGAACCAAACGGAGGGAAGGACAGGCAUCAGCCUGUAGAUAGAUGGUUACCGCCCAUUGGUACGAGGUGCAAGCCGUUCGAGUACCCGGGAACAAAACAUGGCUUACAGAA